UACGUAGGGGGCUAGCGUUGUCCGGAAUCAUUGGGCGUAAAGAGCGUGUAGGCGGUCCGGUAAGUCCGCUGUGAAAGUCGGGGGCUCAACCCUCGAAUGCCGGUGGAUACUGUCGGGCUAGAGUGCGGAAGAGGCGAGUGGAAUUCCUGGUGUAGCGGUGAAAUGCGCAGAUAUCAGGAAGAACACCCGUGGCGAAAGCGGCUCUCUGGGACGGUACUGACGCUGAGACGCGAAAGCGUGGGGAGCGAACAGG
rnacentral:rRNA from 1 species